rnacentral:rRNA from 1 species
UAGGGAAUCUUCCGCAAUGGGCGAAAGCUUGACGGAGCAACGCCGCGUGAGUGAUGAAGGUCUUCGGAUCGUAAAACUCUGUUAUUAGGGAAGAACAAAUGUGUAAGUAACUAUGCACGUCUUGACGGUACCUAAUCAGAAAGCCACGGCUAACUACGUGCCAGCAGCCGCGGUAAUACGUAGGUGGCAAGCGUUAUCCGGAAUUAUUGGGCGUAAAGCGCGCGUAGGCGGUUUUUUAAGGCUGAUGUGAAAGCCCACGGCUCAACCGUGGAGGGUCAUUGGAAACUGGAAAACUUGAGUGCAGAAGAGGAAAGUGGAAUUCCAUGUGUAGCGGUGAAAUGCGCAGAGAUAUGGAGGAACACCAGUGGCGAAGGCGACUUUCUGGUCUGUAACUGACGCUGAUGUGCGAAAGCGUGGGGAUCAAACAGG